GGACUACUCGGGUUUCUAAUCCUGUUCGCUCCCCACGCUUUCGCUCCUCAGCGUCAGUAACGGCCCAGAGACCCGCCUUCGCCACCGGUGUUCUUCCUGAUAUCUGCGCAUUCCACCGCUACACCAGGAGUUCCAGUCUCCCCUACCGCACUCAAGCCGGCCCGUACCCACCGCAAGCCCCCAGUUAAGCCAGAGGAUUUCACGACAGACGCGACCAGCCGCCUACGAGCUCUUUACGCCCAAUAAUUCCGGACAACGCUCGCGCCCUACGUAUUACCGCGGCUGCUGGCAC
rnacentral:rRNA from 1 species